rnacentral:misc_RNA from 1 species
GAUGAAGAACGUAGCGAAAUGCGAUACGUAGUGUGAAUUGCAGAAUUCAGUGAAUCAUCGAAUCUUUGAACGCACAUUGCACCUCUCGGUAUUCCGGGAGGUAUGCCUGUUCGAGCGUCAUUUGUACCGUCAAGCUCUGCUUGGUGUUGGGUGUUUGUUCCGCCUCUGUGUGUGAACUCGCCUCAAAACAAUUGGCAGCCGGCGUACUUGUUUCGGAGCGCAGCACAUUUUGCGAUCCAGAUCAACGUACAGCGGCAUCCAAGAAGCCUUAUUUAACGCUCUUGACCUCGGAUCAGGUAGGGAUACCCGCUGAACUUAAGCAUAUCAAUAAGCGGGA